AAAAAUUAGCCACGCCUAAUCUAUCUCUCUCUCCUUUCAGUCUCUCUCUUCUCUCACUCUCUCUCUCUAUACUCCUACGGACUUGUGCGCCACGCUGAGGCUGAAUAGCGGCAGAUCGGCGAGGGCGUCGGCGUCUAUGGCGCCGCCGAGGCCCAUGCCCUGGAGCCGCAGCCAUGCGAACGGCGUAGAUCGUCGCCGCCUCAUCUCUUCUCACUCCUUCGACUCCUCGGCCGAACAGCCAUUGGCGGAAGAUUGGUACCGCCGCGCCUCCUCCCUUUCGGUCGGACAACAACCCCAACGACGACUGCCGCCACUCUACCCCCCUCCGUUCACCGUGAAUGGCCAGCGACCUCCGCGACAUCUAUUAUGCUCUAAUCAACAUUCCAUGGACUAUCAACGGCCUCUGAAUCAUCUCCUUCCUCCAUGGUUUAUGUUCACGACGAAAUCUUCUCUCCCUCGAAAUCUUCUUUAUUUGCCUCUCAAUUUUCCUUCGUUAUCUCCAUUGAUUAUGCCCUAAUCAGGAAACUAUCAUUGGCUGAUGCUCUCAAUUCUCCGACCCGACCAUAGAACGUGGCACAGCCGCCAAUGGCUGCCCCGCCGCAGCCGAAAAAUCGCCAUCGCCGCUGAUGCCCAACUUCUCCAAUCGCCCACCCUCUCCGACCCGACCAUGGCACCUGGCACAGCCGCCAAUGGCUGCCCCGCCGUAGGCGAAAAAUCGCCAUCGCCACCGAUGCCCAACUUCUCCGAUCGCCCACCCCUUGCCCUAUCUCACUCGGUUGUCGGGCUAAAAAUCGCCAUCACCGCCGAUGCCCAACUUCUUCGAUCUCCUCCCAUUUUCACACUCGAGUGGCGCCGAGAAGAAGAAACUCUUCGCCUCCAUCGUCAGCUCCUAUCUCCGUUGGAAAUUGUGAAGUGAUAGUGCAAGCGAAGAAUUUCACUUCCGAAUCAAAUGAUGAUAGUUUUCAAAUCUCUAUUUCCAAAACUGCCAAAAUCAGUAUUUCAGUGAUCGGAAAAGCGAAUGAACACGACAAUGGUGGGGGCGGAGGACAUGAGAAAUCUGCUA